rnacentral:lncRNA from 1 species
GCCCCUUCGGCUAUAGCUCUCAACAUCUCCCCCUCUCUGUUUAAACAACAAACAUGUGGCUUAGGGACUGUGCCUGCCUUAGGUUGUCCAGUACUACAUAUGGUCCUUACCCGUCAUCAGAUGAGCUGACCUCAAGGUGUCAGCCUCCUGUCUUAGGUUGGUACCAUUGCAAUUGGAUCUUACCCGUCAUUGACUACCGGUCCAGCAUACAGCCACACCUGUGGAUAGGUCUUUGUACCAGCUGGGGGGGGGUGAGGUUCUUUACCUCACCUCUGUUGGCCCCCAAAUUUUAGCUGAACGACCAUCACAAGCAGAAGGGAGGAAGAUACACCAAUC